rnacentral:rRNA from 1 species
UACGAAGGGGGCUAGCGUUGCUCGGAAUUACUGGGCGUAAAGCGUGCGUAGACGGUUACGUAAGUCGGAUGUGAAAGCCCCGGGCUCAACCUGGGAAUGGCAUUCGAGACUGCGUAGCUAGGAUGCGGAAGAGGGAAGCGGAAUUUCCGGUGUAGCGGUGAAAUGCGUAGAUAUCGGAAGGAACACCAGUGGCGAAAGCGGCUUCCUGGUCCAGCAUCGACGUUCAGGCACGAAAGCGUGGGGAGCAAACAGG